AGUGAACGCUGGCGGCAGGCCUAACACAUGCAAGUCGAGCGGCAGCGCGGGGGCAACCCUGGCGGCGAGCGGCGGACGGGUGAGGAAUUCGUCGGAAUCUGCCUUUUUGUGGGGGAUAACGUAGGGAAACUUACGCUAAUACCGCAUACGUCCUACGGGAGAAAGUGGGGGACCGCAAGGCCUCACGCAGAAAGAUGAGCCGACGACCGAUUAGCUAGUUGGUGGGGUAAAGGCCCACCAAGGCGACGAUCGGUAGCUGGUCUGAGAGGAUGAUCAGCCACACUGGGACUGAGACACGGCCCAGACUCCUACGGGAGGCAGCAGUGGGGAAUAUUGGUCAAUGGGCGCAAGCCUGAUCCAGCCAUGCCGCGUGUGUGAAGAAGGCCUUCGGGUUGUAAAGCACUUUUGUCCGGAAAGAAAUCCCUGGAGCUAAUACCUUCGGGGGAUGACGGUACCGGAAGAAUAAGCACCGGCUAACUUCGUG
rnacentral:rRNA from 1 species